rnacentral:rRNA from 1 species
CUAGUUCAGCCAGUAUUUUGCAACUAGGUUCCCGGGCAAUACCAGUUCAAGUGGUCGAAGGGCGACUAAUGGCUGGUAAAUUGCCCUAAUGUGCGGUACGGCAUUGGAAACUAUGGCUAAUACCGCGCAAUAUCUUCGGAUCAAGGAGGGGGACCUUCAGGCCUCUCGCGUCAGGAUAUGCCCAGGUGGGAUUACCUUGUUGGUGAGGUAAGGGCUCACCAAGGCGACUAUCCCUAGCUGGUCUGAGAGGAUGAUCAUCCACACUGGAACUGAGACACGGUCCAGACUCCUACGGGAGGCAGCAGUGGGGAAUAUUGCACAAUGGGCGCAAGCCUGAUGCAGCCAUGCCGCGUGUAUGAAGAAGGCCUUCGGGUUGUAAAGUACUUUUCAGCAGUGAGGAAGGGGUGUGCGUUAAUAGCGGACAUUUUUUGACGUUAGCUGCACAAGAAGCCACCGGCUAACUCCGUGCCAGCAGCCGCGGUAUACGGAGGGUGCAAGCGUUAAUCGAAAUUCUGGGCCUAAAGCGCAUGCAGGUGGUUGCAAAUCAGAUGUCAAAGCCCGGGCUCAACUUCGGAUUUGCUUUUAAACUGGCAGACUGGAGUUCUGGUGGAGGGGGUAUAUUUUCCGGGGUAGUCGUUAAUGCAUAAAUUUGGAGGAUCCCCGUGGAAAGGCCCCCCCUGGAAAAAUUGCCUCAAUGCAAACGUGGGGACCAUAAGCAUUUAUACUCGUGUCAGCCCGCCUUGAUCCAUCUCUGAUGUUUCGCCUUUAGCUGCCUUCCCAGUUAGACCUCAUGUUCUGCUGGUAGUCGCCGCACUAAACUCUGUCUCUGAUUUGCUGAUCUGGAACUGUUCUAGCUGCUCUCUAACACUCUCUACUAUUGACAUGACCACUACACCAUAACUGGACCUUGAUUCUGCGCAUGGAUCACUGAACUUCCCUUUUCUGCC